GAUUCUUCGAACUAGGUUUCAGAGCAGAAAUCUAAUCUCAAAUGUGAACGAUGAUCGCUAAUUUGAUUAAACCCAACCUUCGGUAUUCUCCAACUUCAAUUCUAUUUCUGUUCACUAAUAACCUUGAGAUUUAAUAUAUGCUCAUACUAAUCUGCUUUCCAAGGGUUUUCCUAUUGAAAUUGGGGGUUUCAAAUCACCCGCACCACCACCAUACUCAUUCAAAUUGAAUUACCACCACCACGCUCCUCCGCUCCUAAGUGAGUCGUCCACCACCAGCGUCAACACCACCAUGAUGUAUUUUUGAUGUUUGAUAUUAUGAUUACAAUUGUGCUUUAUACGUAUUGAAGCAAGAGUAGGUGGUGAUGGAAUUCACAGAGGGUUGAGAAUUUCUGGUGAGGGUUAAUGGCAUUCUUAUUGCUGAAAAUACAUGAAAAGGUCAUUUGUUUGUAGCGGUUGUGAAACGACAAUCAACUUUUCUGAUUGCUGAAGCUUAUGUUUUCUUUAGCAGAGAGUACAUGGUGUUUAGGGGGUCUUAUAUAACUGAACUUGAACCAGAGGUUAGUUUGCAAAGCAAGCCCUCUUAUUGCAAGUUUUCCAACUAAUGGGAAAGUAGGGAACUGAUGAUUCUCAGGUGCUAGCUUAUGUUUUGUAUUUUCCCAUUUUUUUCCAGAACUUGCAGUGAUUAUGCACUUUUCUCUAAGUUCAGUCUUACGGUGCAGAACAUAGGUGAAAGGACAUAUGUCUUGGUAGCUUCCAGAGUUGAGCCUUAAUUUUCCCCAAGUUGAGCCUUAGGGUGAUCUAUUACUUAACAUAGGUGAUCUAUGUUGCGGAAUUAUCUUGCAAGUACCACCCUUCUCAAUUGUUAAGUAUAAUGAGAAAAUAGUUUGAAGAUAACUACCAUUUUAGAAUUUUAAGAAAUAUGGUUUUGAUAGAUACAUAUUACAAUGAAAAUGUAGAUUAAACAAUUCAAAAUAAGAUGGGGGUUACAAUAGCUUUUAGAGAUUGAAUUUAGUGUCUUCCUCAGAAUGUACUGGAUGGACUACGAAAGAGAAACCUCAAUUGAAGGAUGUUGAUUGGACAAGGAAUAUCUUGACCCAUGCAGCGUAUGUGGAUAUCUCUACAACCAAAUAUCAAAGUGGGGAGAUAGAACCUCAUCAGAUUAAUGAGGUUUAAUCACAGCUCUAUUUUUAUGUAUAGUGAGACAAAAAAAUCGAUUCUUUCACGAAUAAAUUUGAUUAAGAUA